AGCGAACGCUGGCGGCAGGCCUAACACAUGCAAGUCGAACGAACUCUUCGGAGUUAGUGGCGGACGGGUGAGUAACACGUGGGAACGUGCCUUUAGGUUCCGAAUAACUCAGGGAAACUUGUGCUAAUACCGAAUGUGCCCUUCGGGGGAAAGAUUUAUCGCCUUUAUAGCGGCCCGCGUCUGAUUAGCUAGUUGGUGAGGUAAAGGCGCACCACGGCGACGAUCAGUAGCUGGUCUGAGAGGAUGAUCAGCCACAUUGGGACUGAGACACGGCCCAAACUCCUACGGGAGGCAGCAGUGGGGAAUCUUGCGCAAUGGGCGAAAGCCUGACGCAGCCAUGCCGCGUGAAUGAUGAAGGUCGUAGGAUUGUAAAAUUCUUUCACCGGGGACGAUAAUGACGGUACCCGGAGAAGAAGCCCCGGCUAACUUCGUG
rnacentral:rRNA from 1 species